rnacentral:tRNA from 1 species
CUAUUUUGGCAGAUUAAUGUGUUAAAUUUAGAAUUUAUUUAUGUAUUUUACAAAUAGAAA